AUGGCUCAGGAUGAACGCGUGGCGGCAGGCCUAAUACAUGCAAGUCGGACGGCAGCAUGCCGUAGCAAUACGGUGAGUGGCGAGUGGCGUACGGGUGCGUAACACGUGUGCAACCUGCCCCGCACAGGGACAAAAACGCCGGGAAACUGGCGCUAAUAUCCCAUGACGCCGCGCUGGGGCAUCCCUAUGCGGCUAAAGAGGCGACUCGGUGCGGGAUGGGCACGCGUCCCAUUAGAUAGUUGGCGGGGUGACGGCCCACCAAGUCCGCGAUGGGUAGGGGUUCUGAGAGGACAGGCCCCCCACACUGGAACUGAGACACGGUCCAGACUCCUACGGGAGGCAGCAGUAAGGAAUAUUGGUCAAUGGGAGGAAUCCUGAACCAGCCAUGCCGCGUGCGGGAGGAAGGCCCUACGGGUCGUAAACCGCUUUUGCCCGGGGAUAGUGCGCGUCACGAGUGGCGCAAGUGAAGGUACCGGGCGAAUAAGCAUCGGCUAACUCCGUGCCAGCCGCUGC
rnacentral:rRNA from 1 species